rnacentral:lncRNA from 1 species
AGCAAACUAACCUUCUUCAUGAAUAAUGACUGUAAGUGUAUGCAAAUCCUUCCUGAAAACUAAGCAGCGAAUACAGAGCGAUCACCUCGUUAUACGUUACAUAGGUCUGGGAUUAGAGCGAGGAUAAAAGGCAAGACCCUGCCAUAAAUACAAAGUGUAUCUCGGAAAUCCGCUCCAGAACCAGUAGAACAGAACCAGAACCCAAAUACAGACAGACAUAUAUCCAAGAAACCAAUAAAUGCAGACUCAUAUCGCGCAUGUAUGAUUUUCAAGUCUUUCCAACCGUUGAUUUCAGGCGGUACGGCGGUCGGUCGCACGCUGCAACAGCAGACGCGUGGCGGUACACCAGACAGUUCCAAGGCACUGCUUUCUAGCCUAACGUGGAAAUUCCAUUGCAUAAAUGUCGUUGCGCCAUGGCGGGCGGUGUACAGUAGGUCGGUCAUGAUGGUGUGUGUGCCACCACGAUCAACUUCCUCCACACCGCCAGCACACCAUGGCGGCAGCGGACACCAGAACCACAGUACCUAUUAAGGCAGUUCGAUAAUUAUGAAUUGG